UUGUCAGUUAACCGCACGGCAUGGUUAAGGUACAUUGUGAUGUCCCGGGAAACUUAUUUAAAUUGAUUUAAUAUAAUAAUAUAUGUCCCCAUUCCAUGUAACAAGGAUUCCAUUAAAUCAAUUUAAAUGAAGAAAUUGCUCGCGAGGUGGGAAUUAUAUUAAGUAUAUCUAAAUAAUAUGUGUAUGUAUGUUAAGGGUAACUUAUUUAAUAUUAGGCCUUUCGAGAUAUAGCGCUAACUGUACUGUUCAACCCUACUUUGUCUUACCUAAAUUGGUAUAUAUUAUUUCAAUUACUUUAGAAAACUUCGUUUUAUGCGUAAAUUACGUCUUAUUGACGUAUUAAAAAGAUUAAUUCUUGAAAAUUAUGGGAACAAUUUUUUUUGUACUAUUUCUAUCCUGAAACUAGACGAAAUAGUAUAAGUUUUUAGAUUAGACUGAUAGCUAAAAUAUAUAUGAGGGUUGCAGUGAGUUGCCAAUGCCGCUGUAGUCAAGCGAACGGCUUACACUAGUACUUAUCGAUUAGUAUUACGACGUGUCAAUGUUUUAAUACACUUAUACAACGAACUUGCUAUCGAGCAAUCGCGAUUAGUCCAGUUAAGAUUCUCGUUUAAUUUGUAGGCUGAUAAAGUUUUUUGAUUCUGAUAUUAUUUUGGCUUCCAAACAAAGUUAUCAUUCUUAUAAAGGGUGUUAUGUUAUUGUUUUAGACAUAUACUGUGUUUAUAUUAGAGGUUUAAUUUUAUCGAGAAUUUAGAACAUUUAGCUCAAGCACGUAACGGUGUCCUAGAUAAAACACAUAAAAACACUUACCUACCUACAGUUUACAGCAAUUUAGUUAAUAUAUUUUGUGCUAAUUUACAAUUAAUAUACAAUUAAAACUAUAACGGUAAUUACUUGUAAAAUUACUUAUUUUAGCAUUUUCGUGUUAAAGAAAAUAUAAUAUCAAAAGUUUAAGUUAACUCUCUAAUUUUGAUAAGUAUCUGCUUUAAAACAGUUUGUGUGGGAAUUGGCAAUAACGUGAAUGUGGAAUUGUGUAUGUGUAAGUUAAACCCUUUUAUUUUAAUGACGACCGACAUAAAACCUACAUUCCUAACACAAUAGGCAUUCCCUUUUGGCAUUUCUAACAUUAUAAAUUCCCUAAACAAUAUAUAUUUAAUAUUUGAAUGUAUAUUUGCUAAGUUAUUUUAAGUCUUGUGAAAUAUUUUUGUAGAGCAUUUUAUUGAGGACUUUCCCUCGGGAAGCAACGAUUUAAUUUUACUAUAUUUUUAAUUGUAAAUUUUUAUUUUGUUAAGAUUUUUAUUAUAUUACUUUAUUACCGAUAUUUUAGAUUUAUAAUCAAACGGAUCAAUUCGCUUGAUGUUCCAUUUUAUUUGACCGCUUUAUGACGGAAGGGUCCUACAUUAUGUAUCGACAUAGAUUAUGCGCUAGGGUCACUAAUGUAUGGACAAAUGUAAGCUGAUUAUUGAAUAAUAAAACGGAAUUGGUAAAGCUAA